rnacentral:tRNA from 1 species
CCUGAUGGCUGAGAUAGUGAAGAAUCUGCCUGUAAUGCAGGAAACCCAGGUUCGAUCCCUGGGUCAGAA